rnacentral:lncRNA from 1 species
UAUUUAUUAUUGGGCCAAAAUAUGUCCAACUUUUUGAUUCGUGAUAAUAGGUUCAAGAGACUAGUAAAUUGAGUUGGGUUAGUCUAAUAAGUUGAGUGGGGUUACAGUCCAUAAGAGACCUAACGGCAAGAGAUAUAACAAUAGACUCAAUAUUCAGGUGGGUUGAAUCAAGUCGAAGUCUGUAAACGCUAUGUUUGAACUCUUAAGUGCGAUGGAUGCGCCCUUUCUAUCAGUACUUAUUUUUAGGAUAGUUGGUUAGCGCUUACGAUACACAAAUGAUAUUAGAGCCAAUGACGUGGA